rnacentral:rRNA from 1 species
AGCAUAUCAAUAAGCGGAGGAAAAGAAACCAACAGGGAUUGCCCCAGUAACGGCGAGUGAAGCGGCAAGAGCUCAAAUUUGAAAGCUGGCCCCCCCGGGGUCCGCAUUGUAAUUUGCAGAGGAUGCUUCGGGUGCGGCCCCUAUCUAAGUGCCCUGGAAUGGGCUGUCAUAGAGGGUGAGAAUCCCGUCUGGGAUGGGGUGUCCGCGCCCGUGUGAAGCUCCUUCGACGAGUCGAGUUGUUCGGGAAUGCAGCUCUAAAUGGGUGGUAAAUUUCAUCUAAAGCUAAAUAUUGGCCGGAGACCGAUAGCGCACAAGUAGAGUGAUCGAAAGAUGAAAAGCACUUUGAAAAGAGAGUUAAAAAGCACGUGAAAUUGUUGAAAGGGAAGCGCUUGCGACCAGACUCGCCCGCGGGGUUCAGCCGGCAUUCGUGCCGGUGUACUUCCCCGCGGGCGGGCCAGCGUCGGUUUGGGCGGCCGGUCAAAGGCCCUCGGAAUGUAACGCCCCCCGGGGCGUCUUAUAGCCGAGGGUGCAAUGCGGCCUGCCCGGACCGAGGAACGCGCUUCGGCUCGGACGCUGGCAUAAUGGUCGUAAGCGACCCGU